AUUGAACGCUGGCGGCAGGCCUAACACAUGCAAGUCGAGCGGUAGAGAGGUGCUUGCACCUCUUGAGAGCGGCGGACGGGUGAGUAAAGCCUAGGAAUCUGCCUGGUAGUGGGGGGUAACGCUCGGAAACGGACGCUAAUACCGCAUACGUCCUACGGGAGAAAGCAGGGGACCUUCGGGCCUUGCGCUAUCAGAUGAGC
rnacentral:rRNA from 1 species